UGACUGAGCGGCGGACGGGUGAGUAACGCGUGGGUAACCUGCCUCAUACAGGGGGAUAACAGUUAGAAAUGACUGCUAAUACCGCAUAAGACCACAGUACCGCAUGGUACAGGGGUAAAAACUCCGGUGGUAUGAGAUGGACCCGCGUCUGAUUAGGUAGUUGGUGGGGUAACGGCCUACCAAGCCGACGAUCAGUAGCCGACCCGAGAGGGUGACCGGCCACAUUGGGACUGAGACACGGCCCAA
rnacentral:rRNA from 1 species